UAUUGUUCUCUGUCACGUGACAAUACGGGUGCAUCAAAAUCUAUUUGUAAUAGGAGAUUGUAUUACAGAGGAGGCUGUAGUGCUUGAAAAACGUCUUUUACAGAAAGGAUAUCCAAAUAUCAGUUGCAAAUUGCUCCAUACAUGGUUGCGGGACUAGUAGAAAACACUUUGGUCUCAGUAUUUUUUGAAAUCCAACAAAAGACGACGAUUUAUCGACGAAAAUUCGCGAAGCGUUGGCGAGGCUUGUCACAAAGGACGCUGGAUCGAGAGAUAGAUGCAAGUUUAAGAAAUCAAAUCGCUCAACAAACACUUCACGUUUGUGAAAGACACUUUGAAAAGACCCAGCCGAAACAUGUAAGUUAUUUUCUUUCUCUGGUAGAGGUAUUGAUAUUUCGGUAUGAACGCUUGAAAGUUACAACUUAGCAGAAGUACUGUAUAUAUUUCAUGUAUCAAAUUAUCAAAUUUGUAUUAACCAUAUGGUCAUAGAGCAGGAAAAAUAUAUUAAAUAUUAAUGAUUUGCAUAAAAGUGCGUUUCGGUCAUUAGGUCAUAUUUAUAUAACAGUUAACCCUUGUGUUCAUAAAAUGAAGGUAUACAUAUUAUUCAGGACACUGUCACUGAGGACAGUAGAAACAUUUUCGUAUACAGUAAACAAAGUAUUAUACAGUAUUCAAAGGCUAUUUUAAUAGCAAGAAACUGGCAUAAUAAAGUAACAGGAUUUUUGUUUGGCCAUGUCAUAGUAUAUGAAAGCCCCAUUUACAGUUAUUAUAAAUCUUGUUUGCUGUGAAUUUUAUUAUAAUUACUAUCUUAACAAUACUUGUAUAAAUUAAGUCAACUUACGUAUAUAUAAUCAGAUAUUUUAUGUUCUGCUUUAGUUCCCACCUGCAAAAGGCUUGUAGCUGGUGCUAUUCCUACCUUUAAUUUACCCCAGAAAAGCAUACCUCUCUACAUCGACAAUUGGAGCCAGGUAACAUUGCUGGUCGUCACACUGGUCAGAGGAGUAAAUGGUAUCGUGGAUUAGAAAAGGCCUUGCCAUAACAUAAAACAGAAGUAAUCUAGUGAGAACUUUUGUGGGGUUUUUGUACCCAGAGCUGUCAUUAAGGGCCUGUAGCUUGCCUACUUCUGUCUGAACAAAGUUCAUAUAAACAAAACUGUGAAGCAAUAAACAAACCUUUUACUUCCUCUAGUCAGAACAUCAAAAUUAAAACAAAAGAUUAAAUUAUUUCAAACAGGUCAGGCUUUGAUAGGAUGUUUUGUAAUCUUAAGAACUCUGUAAAAUACCUUCCAAAAUGCAGGGAAUGUGUAAAAUACCUUCCCAAAUGCAGGGAAUGGCAUUUCCAACCCAGACCCCUCUAGGAGUCUUGUGCCUUCAAUGUUCAAUAAUUUUUCGGCCACCUACUUGUAAACUUAAUGACAGCACUGCUUCAAAAGAGUAAUAUGCAAUAAUUUGUACAUAUGCUAUAAAAUAAUUAUUAAAACAGAUUAUAAAUGAAUAGGU